rnacentral:rRNA from 1 species
UACGUAGGGUGCGAGCGUUAAUCGGAAUUACUGGGCGUAAAGCGUGCGCAGGCGGCUUUGCAAGACAGAUGUGAAAUCCCCGGGCUCAACCUGGGAACUGCAUUUGUGACUGCAAGGCUGGAGUGCGGCAGAGGGGGAUGGAAUUCCGCGUGUAGCAGUGAAAUGCGUAGAUAUGCGGAGGAACACCGAUGGCGAAGGCAAUCCCCUGGGCCUGCACUGACGCUCAUGCACGAAAGCUAGGGGAGCGAACGGG